rnacentral:rRNA from 1 species
UGAGGAAUAUUGGACAAUGGGCGCAAGCCUGAUCCAGCCACGCCGCGUGCAGGAAGAAGCAUCUAUGGUGUGUAAACUGCUUUUGUACGGGAAGAAACACUCCUUCGUGAAGGAGCUUGACGGUACCGUAAGAAUAGGGAUCGGCUAACUCCGUGCCAGCAGCCGCGGUAAUACGGAGGAUCCAAGCGUUAUCCGGAAUCAUUGGGUUUAAAGGGUCCGUAGGCGGUUUAGUAAGUCAGUGGUGAAAGCCCAUCGCUCAACGAUGGAACGGCCAUUGAUACUGCUAGACUUGAAUUACAAGGAAGUAACUAGAAUAUGUAGUGUAGCGGUGAAAUGCUUAGAUACUACAUGGAAUACCAAUUGCGAAGGCAGGUUACUACUUGUGGAUUGACGCUGAUGGACGAAAGCGUGGGGAGCGAACA